rnacentral:rRNA from 1 species
UGGGUAACCUGCCUCAAAGAGGGGAAUAGCCUCCCGAAAGGGAGAUUAAUACCGCAUAAUAUGUUUAAGUCGCAUGACUUUAACAUCAAAGGAUUUUCUUUUAGAAAUUCCACUUUGAGAUGGACCCGCGGCGCAUUAGCUAGUUGGUGAGGUAACGGCUCACCAAGGCAACGAUGCGUAGCCGACCUGAGAGGGUGAUCGGUCACAUUGGAACUGAGACACGGUCCAGACUCCGUAGGGAG